AGAAAAAAUAGAAAAAUAAAUGCUGUGGGUUGGGAGGGGAGGGGGAGGCACCUGUUGAAUAGAAAAUACGACUAACGAGCAGUCCUCAAGUUCGCCCUACCCAAACAAUCAGCUCGAUACGAGAUUUCGGGCGUGAGAUUUGAAAGAAGUCGAGAUCGCAAAGUUAUCGCCACCUUUGCUACUAGGUAGAAGCAGAAAGAUGCUGUCAAGCCAGCUGCUGGCGCUGUCAGUCUACGAAUGCAUUCAAGGGAGGUGUAGGAACGUCCAUCACGAAAAGAGUAACUAUACACGGAAGCUGUUACGGCUGAUAAUGAUAGCGAGAAGAACGACAUCGCUUGUGUUUAAGUUCCUUAGCUUCGACCUGUCAGCUCGCGGUAACUAACAGCCUUCGGGACGGCUCCAGUAGACUUUCAUGAAUAACGAUUGCAGAGUGCACGGCAUUGCUAUCAAUCCAGCACUUAACCAGCCGUGCUCUUCUUGAUCCCCUGGUUAAUACUUGGUAAAUAAGUUAUUUUUCAUCUU